UCAAAAUUCCUCUGAUUUUAAAAUGGCAAUUGUAGUUAAGUCUGGUCACAAUCGCCAUGAAUUAAGUAGUUAAAACUCAAUAAGUAUCUCUCCUUUGAUUGAAUGAAACAUAAUUUUUUCAUAUUUCAAGCUUACUUUUAUUUUUUUAAAGGAUCAGCCCAGAAAAUCUUUGAAAGCCUAGAAAUGGGAGAAGAUGUUGAUCCUGAAUUGUUUGAAAGACAAGAAAUGACAACAUACUCUGUUGAUCCCGUCAUUGAAUUUGAUGCAUCAAAGAGGAGACGAAUGGAAAUACAGCCUCCAUCUCCAUGCACUAGUAGUGAAAAUAGGCCCAGUGCAAGGUCAAAAGUAUGGCAAGCCGUUUGCUUCAAAAAGUCGAGAUGAUUUUUUUCAAGUCGAGAUUUUUUUUUCAAGUCAAGAAAAAAUAUUUCAAGUCAAGAAAUUUCUUCAAAAAGUUGAGAUUAGUAUUUUCAAGUUUACACAUUUUUUUUCAAUUCUACAAGUUUGUUUUUUUUUAAGUCGACUUUUUA